rnacentral:lncRNA from 1 species
ACUGUGUGUUUUUGGAAAAGCUAAUGGCUUCAAUAUCUCAAACCAACCAGUUCCCGUGCAAGACUCUUUCACAAAACCCACCACACAAUCAGUUCACCUCGAAGCCUUCAAUUCUUCCUUUGAACUCGGUUCGAAUUUCACGGAGUCUCGCCAAGAAAUCAUUUCUUUCAAUCCAAGGAUUCACUCGGGCCAGGCCGCUGGUUCUAACUCGGGCUGCCGAUGAUGAUGAGUGGGGCCCGGAGAAGGAGAAGGAGGAAGGUGGCGCUCUGGCGGUGGCAGAGGAGGAGAGCCCAAAAGAAGUUACAGAGAUUGAUAAUUUGAAGAAAGCGCUUG